GACGAACGCUGGCGGCGUGCUUAACACAUGCAAGUCGAACGGAAAGGCCCUGCUUGCAGGGUACUCGAGUGGCGAACGGGUGAGUAACACGUGGGUGAUCUGCCCUGCACUUCGGGAUAAGCCUGGGAAACUGGGUCUAAUACCGGAUAGGAGCCAUUUUUAGUGUGAUGGUUGGAAAGUUUUUUCGGUGUAGGAUGAGCUCGCGGGCUAUCAGCUUGUUGGUGGGGUAAUGGCCUACCAAGGCGGCGACGGGUGGCCGGCCUGGGAGGGGGGACGGCCAACUUGGGACCGGGAUAAGGCCCCGGAUCCUACGGGGGGGAGCAGUGGGGAAAAUUGCACAAGGGGCGCAAGCCUGAUGCAGCGACGCCGCGGGGGGGAUGACGGCCUUCGGGUUGUAAACUCAUUUCGCUAGGGACGGAGCUUUGUGUGACGGUACCUAGAGAAGAAGCACCGGCUAACUACGUG
rnacentral:rRNA from 1 species